rnacentral:lncRNA from 10 species
UGAAUCCAAUAAUAUGUAUUAAACAACAAUUCUUAAACAAGUGGGAUUGCUCUUAGGAAUGCAAAGAUGAUCCAAUAUCAGAAACUUUAUCCAUGUAAUUCACAUUAAGAGGCUACAGGAGAAAAACCAUAUGGUUCCCUCAAUAGAGGCAGAAAAAAAUGAUGUGAUAAAGUUUAACGCCUAUGUGUGAUUUUGGGGUAGUGGAGUACACCACUUAGCAAGCCAGGACUAGAGAGGAACUUCUUCAACUUGAUACAAGUUAUAAACCAAAACUUAACUUUUCAGUAAACUUGAUAGAGAAAUUAAAAGUGUAUCAUUCUCUUUAAGAUAAGGAGUAGGCCAAGGAUGUCAUCCUGGCCAUACCCUAAUACAAGAAAAAGAAAUGGGGAUGUGAGGAUCAGGUAGGAAGUGAUAAAACUUAGUGUAGCUCAUAGGGUUGAUGGUCUCCAUAAAGAUUCUCAAACAUUUUGGUGUUACGACUUGUUGUAUUCUUAAAAGUUAUUGAAACCCCCAAAGGGCUUUUCUUGAUAGAGAUUCGUUGAUAGUUACCAUCUUAGAAGUUAAAACUAAGAAAUGUUUAA